CCACGAGUGAGUAGAGCAAAGCAGAUGAGAGCAAUUAUGGAGUCGCUAAGCGAAUUGGAGGAUUUGAAAACGGCUACUGGAACAGGUUUGCCAAAGCGAAGUUUGUGGGAAAAAAGUCAUACUCUCUCGUGUCUGUUGUAUGAAGGUCCCGCAGGGAAAUGGUGCCAUUGUGGAACAACGAUAACACCAAUAUCUGGAUGAGAAAGGGAGCGGGAGAAGAUCAGUAUCACGAAGACUGAGUACAUUGGAUUGUUUACAUCAUUGCUCAUACUUGGAUAUGGAUAACUAAUAUCUGCUGGAGCGAUUAACCGCUUGUUGAGCGGCCCCAUCGUGGAGGACGAGACGAGUGGGACGAAAUCCGACCGGGCGUGGAGUACCGACCUUAAAAAUCACUGAAGUGUGUGUAGUGCAGUGGGUGAGUCUGUCUUUGAAGUGUGUACACCGAACUUUUGCUGUGCCGUGUCCUUGUUGUCUGUACUCGCCCUCCAGGCCUGGGAAAAGUUCCUGUUGGAGAGAACGUAGGCUGUCGUGGCGGUGCCCACCUAUCCCACCUACGCCCGCCUAUAACUCCGUUCCCCGUAUCUAGCCUGAAGGAGGUGAAGCGUGAAUGCAAAACAAGGGACUUGUGUGUUACCUUGUACUUACCUAGGAGGUCUAUGGGAGUGGAGGAGCUGUCCAGACGCUGGAGAAGAGAAGGGCGCCACGGGAAAUCAAGCCGCUAAGGAAGGACUUAGGAUCAGUCAGGAGAUUGGUGGGAGUUCUGUGAAAGGACGAAAGAGCCCUUUGCCCCCCCUCCCCUUGUGAUUACUUCCCAACGACCUCCAGAUUUCUCAGGCCCAGUCCCCUCCUGUCAAGAGACGAAAAAUCCAAAUUUUAGAUUCCCCUUUCUCCUUUCCUAAAUUAUCUUUUUAAAUAAAGUUGUUUUAAAUUAUCCUUAA